CUGUUUAGGAACCAACACACAUAGUCUGAGCUCUGAUAAUUUGUGCCUUCUUUUAGAGGGAAGAACUCGCCCAAAUACUUCUUUGAGUCUUUCCAAAGUAUUUUGAAAGCUGAAUGAGAUGGCUUCAGGUGCUUGUUUCUCAAUGUCAAAUGUAUUGAUUGGCUCUCAUUCAGUUCAGGCGUUUUCUGCAGUGUCUCGCUGGUCCAUCUUUGUGAGUCACAGUGUUCAUAGGUGCCUCUCCUCGCGUGUGCCAACUUCCUUCUGCCAGACAAACAUCUUUUCUCUUCUGUAGAAAUAAGAUUUCUGAGCUGCAGCCUUUCCUGCUAGUACAUAAGGAUCAAUGCCUCUGUUCAGACUGUGGAAGCCCUACAGAUUUGGGAACUAUUGGAUCUCAAAACAGAAAGGAAUCCUACAUUGCAUUGAAUCUGAUGGCCUCUUCUGACCUCCAUAUGUAAAGGAGCACACAGAUUCACAGAAACACACAGACCCACUCCCCACCCCAGCCCCAGACACACACAGGUAAGUAG